rnacentral:tRNA from 1 species
GGGUCGAUGCCCGAGUGGUUAAUGGGGAUGGAUUGUAAAUCCAUUGGCUUUUGUCUACGUAGGUUCAAAUCCUACUCGGCCCA